UCCCUGGUGGUCUAGUGGUCAGGACUUAGCACUUUGACUGCUUUGGCCUGAGUUUAGUCCCCAGUCUAGGUA
rnacentral:tRNA from 1 species